UACGAACUGUGCGAACGUUAUUCGGAAUCACUGGGCUUAAAGGGUGCGUAGGCGGCGCGAUAAGUCAGGUGUGAAAUCCCCCGGCUCAACCGGGGAAUGGCGCUUGAAACUGGCGGGCUUGAGUGGGGUAGGGGCGCGCGGAACUUCCGGUGGAGCGGUGGAAUGUGUUGAGAUCGGAAGGAACGCCGGUGGCGAAAGCGGCGCGCUGGGCCUUAACUGACGCUGAGGCACGAAAGCCAGGGGAGCGAACGGG
rnacentral:misc_RNA from 1 species